AUUGAACGCUGGCGGCAUGCUUUACACAUGCAAGUCGAACGGCAGCACGGGAGCUUGCUCCUGGUGGCGAGUGGCGAACGGGUGAGUAAUGCAUCGGAACGUACCCAGUAGUGGGGGAUAGCCCGGCGAAAGCCGGAUUAAUACCCGCAUAUUUCCUGAGGGAGAAAGCGGGGGACCUUCGGGCCUCGCGCUACUGGAGCGGCUGAUGUCGGAUUAGCUAGUUGGUGAGGUAAAGGCUCACCAAGGCGACGAUCCGUAGCUGGUCUGAGAGGAUGAUCAGCCACACUGAGACUGAGACACGGCCCCAGACUCCUACGGGAGGCAGCAGUGGGGAAUUUUGGACAAUGGGGGCAACCCCUGAUCCAGCCAUGCCGCGUGAGUGAAGAAGGCCUUCGGGUUGUAAAGCUCUUUCAGGUGGAAAGAAAUCACUACCCCGAAUACGGGUGGUGGAUGAACGGUACCAUCAGAAGAAGCACCGGCUAACUACGUG
rnacentral:rRNA from 1 species